GACGAACGCUGGCGGCGUGCUUAACACAUGCAAGUCGAACGGUGAAGCUCCAGCUUGCUGGAGUGGAUCAGUGGCGAACGGGUGAGUAACACGUGAGCAACCUGCCCCUGACUCUGGAAUAAGCGCUGGAAACGGCGUCUAAUACUGGAUACGAGAAGGGUCCGCAUGGGCACUUUCUGAAAGUUUUUCGGUUGGGGAUGGGCUCGCGGCCUAUCAGCUUGUUGGUGAGGUAAUGGCUCACCAAGGCGACGACGGGUAGCCGGCCUGAGAGGGCGACCGGCCACACUGGGACUGAGACACGGCCCAGACUCCUACGGGAGGCAGCAGUGGGGAAUAUUGCACAAUGGGCGAAAGCCUGAUGCAGCGACGCCGCGUGAGGGAUGACGGCCUUCGGGUUGUAAACCUCUUUCAGCAGGGAAGAAGCGAAAGUGACGGUACCUGCAGAAGAAGCACCGGCUAACUACGUG
rnacentral:rRNA from 1 species